UACGUAGGGUCCGAGCGUUGUCCGGAAUUAUUGGGCGUAAAGGCUCGUAGGCGGUUUGUCGCGUCGGGAGUGAAAACACGGGGCUUAACCCCGUGCCUGCUUCCGAUACGGGCAGACUAGAGGUAUGCAGGGGAGAACGGAAUUCCUGGUGUAGCGGUGAAAUGCGCAGAUAUCAGGAGGAACACCGGUGGCGAAGGCGGUCUCUGGGCAUUACCUGACGCUGAGGAGCGAAAGUGUGGGGAGCGAACAGGAUU
rnacentral:rRNA from 1 species